GGGUCCGUAGCUUAGCCAGGUAGAGCGAUGGACUCUUAAUCCAUAGGUCGGGGGUUCGAACCCCCUCGGACCCG
rnacentral:tRNA from 1 species